UUAAAAUCAUUGCUUAUGUUUUACAAACUGUUUUGACAAAAUUAAAUAGAAAAAAGGACGACCAUUUAAAAAAGAACCACAAUGUAAUAAAUAAUAGAUGGAUGCCCAUUAUAAGGCUCUUCAUCUAGGUCCAUCAUCUAGAUGUCUCUAGGGUUUUAGCCUUCCCUUGUACUCCUAUAUAAAGGACUCUUUAUUCAAUGGAAUAACACACUCAUUUUUCUUCUAUCUCUUUCUCUAGUCAUAACACGUUAUCAACACGCUCUAAAAGGUAGAUAUAGAGAUUCUUACAUUUUUUUUAGAACCAUGUUUACUUACAUGGUUCACAAUAUUU
rnacentral:sRNA from 1 species